rnacentral:lncRNA from 1 species
GACGCAGAGGCCGACAACAAGGAGCGGGUGUGGGUGUUCAUCCUCGCCACUGACCACAAGUGCUGCGAUAAAUUUUGAGAAGAAUUCUAUGCCUCCACUGGUAUGAGCAAAUCACCCGUUGAUUCCUUCUCUCUGUCCAUUGCCUGUUGAAGUAGCUAAUAGAUUGCUUCAGAAUGUUGUGAGCUUGGUUAUUUUACACCGUCUGCUAAUGUUAAGCAAAGAAUGAAGGCUGGAGUGUGUUACAUGUACUCCCUCCGUCCGGAAAUAUUUGUCGCAGAAAUGCAUAAAAAUGGAUGUAUCUAGAACUAAAAUACAUCUAGAUACAUCCAUUCCUUCGACAAGUAUUUUCGGACGGAGGGAGUACGCAACAACGUUUUACUUAGAUGUAGUAGAUGAUUGAUUACAAAACAACUAUCCAUAAAUUGGUGCAUUCUGUUUUGCAAAAUGAUCAGGUGGUGGUUAAGCUGGUAUCUUGAUCGCGGCAGAAUACUACAUCUCCAGUGUUCAGUGUCAAAGCAAAAGGAUAAUAUACAUAAGUAAUCUACCAAAAGGAAAAGUAAUCUAACCAACAAGUAAUUCUCCGUUACCACGAGUUGACCAUGGCUAUGCCAGAAACAAGGAGAGAAUAGAAAACCUCAAUAGCAAUGAUGCUGCUACUAUUUCCAUUUCUUAAACAUUAGUUAGGAGUUCAUCUAAUUGGAGUCCAGCUCCAGCUGCCUAAAAAAAGGUAAAAGGAGCAAACAGACACAAAAUAAAUGAAACUAAGAGAGAACUAAACCGCAAAAUAAAAUUGGGACGUUGUGUGUUUCUGCUUUGGGGCCGCAUGAAUCCAUUAUGGAUUAAAAGCAUUCUAUAAGCCAAAUUCCAUGCCUUCUACAGAGGGAGUACUGCCCAUGGGCUCUCUAUAGUUGAAUUUGUCAAUUAAGUAGAUGCUUUAAUUAACUUGUAAGUAAAUAGACGAACCAUAUUUUGUUUGAACUAAGCAGUUGCUGCUAAUAUAAUUCUCUCCAGCAAUAUCAGUUUCGGAUAAUAUAAUCUGCAUAUUACUUUCUAUGUGUUUAAGCAUGUUCAAACUCGGUACAAAUGUAAUAAUGGAUAUAUUUUGAUUUGAUAACUUGAUGUCUUAAUUGUUCUGGCUAGAUCCUGGACCUUAUGAUAUCUACCUAUAACCAGUGAUACGUUUCUGCCUUUUGGCUGGAUGUCUACUUCUUCUCUCAAGGCCACAGUAGCCAGUAGGUGCGGGCAGGUGUGGCUAGGAAGAAGGUCCCGGAGGCAGCGGACUGGACAUCGGGUGUGAGCGGCCGAAGAGACUGGGACCGGCGAGUGGCAACAGCUGGCUGGAUGCGGCGGGAUGAGCCGGUAGAAGAAAGCAGGUAAGCAGCGGCGGCCUACAUGUCUAUGGUUGGUACAUGCCGCCAUCUAAAACACUUACAAUGAACAUCAAUGUUUCUGAGCUUUGCUUGUUGAGCCUGUCGUUGCCAUGUAAGCCAGCCACGAAGUGUUCAGAAAAUAUCUGAAGUUAUAUUCUACAGUAGAAUCUAAUCACCUUAUUGUGGUUGUUUUCUGUGUCAGUCAUUAUUUGGAUAACAUCCUAUUGGAGAAUAUCGGUGAUGUUAAGACAUUGCAAGCAUUAUUUGAACUCGAAGCACUUCUUCUUACAAGUAUGCUCAUUUUAUAAUCGUUUCCUUGGUUGUGGUGGAUUAUUUAGUGAAUAUAAUUCCUUUUUUAGGUCAUUGCAUGAAAAAUAAGAAUACUUAUAUCACUGAAUUACUGGUGAUUUUCUAUCGGAAGCUAGUUCAGUUAGGCGCUUCUAACGUCUUAAGCUCUAUUUCUCUUCAGUUGCCCUUAAUUACCAGAUGUUGGGUAUUUUCUUCCAUGAAACUGCUCUUCAGUUUGAUAUAAUCUGCAGGAGCAAUCCAGGAGCAUGGCGUGUCACCUAUGUCCUAAUCAAGUGUGUAAUCUCCUAUUGAUUUUGCCUACUGAAUUAUAACAAGUUUUGAACUUUGUUGACUGAUUUUCCUUAUCCUGCUUGUUAGCUUUUCAUGUCAUUCUGCACGCUGCUCAUAGUGUGCAUUCCUUGUUAUUUGCUAAUGGUUGUACUGUACAAAGCUUGGUCUGUUAUUGAAACACAUAAGUGCGGCAGCAAAUUCAUAAUGUGCAUUUCUUGUUAUUUACUAAUGGUUGUACUAAACAAAGCAUGGUCGAAACACAUCCUUUAGUGGGGCACACUUAUAUAUGUCGAUUUUUCCUCCAGCUGUGUAUUACAUAUUGUGAUAAUUGUACGAAGGCUGCCAUAAAAGACACACAUGUCUUUAGAUCAGCAAUAUGCCAGGCAAAUAAUGGUCGAAACACAUACCUUAAUUUCUACUCUGUGUUCAGGCCCUAGCAGAGCUUGAACCUUCUUCAACAAAUAAUGGUAACCGAGUCUUAGUCGUCACUGGACCACAAUUCUUGAUAUCCUUCCAUGGACACUGGAAGUAAUAUGAGCUACAGAUAUGCAUCUCAAUGGGGGGUUAUUUCUUUCCUCAACAAGUUAUAGUAUAACAGGAGAGGUAAAGUGAACACACACCUUUGGUUUUAUGGUUCAUAGAACGUCACUGUAAUAUGUUUUAGGCUAAGCCGAAGCGGCGUUGGCACUGAAGAACUUCAGUCUUAUUCUGGAGUCUGAUGCAUUACAAAUUAUUGCUGUAUAUUGAUCUUGUACUCACAUGAAUAGGGUAAUGAUGCUGACCUGUGGCUUCACCUUCCAUGGAAAACUCUGGCACACCUUCCAUGGAAAACUCUGACUUGCCAGGAGGUGGUCGUCGCUUCCAGAGAUCGUCGCCGAUCCAGUAGUCGCUUCAAGAGACCGUCUCUCGAUCUGGUCGUCGCUUCCAGAGAUCGUCGCCCAGCCCGGUCGUCGCUUCCAGGGAUGGGGAUGCCUUCACCAAAUGAGGCAAAAUCUGGCUCGCAGAUAUGGGUCGUCCAUCUGGAAGGUUUCGGUUGUAUACAUGGAAAGAAUCCAACUUGAUAUGUGGAAGGUCUAGGCUGCAUACACGGAAAGACUACGUGAUCAUGAAUUGUGAUAUGAUUUCUACUAUACAUGGAAUACAUGUUAUGUGCAAAAGGAAAAGAAUUUGUUAGGGGUAUCGAUG